CUUCCCCUGAGGACAUCUGGCUUGUGCCCUCAACAUCCUCCCAGAAAAUUUGAUGACCACUCCGAGCUUUCCGGGCUGCCAUGCCACAGAAGAAGCUGAGGUCGACGCAGAUCUGCUUCCUGGCGCUCACC
rnacentral:lncRNA from 1 species